GGAGGCGGUCUGCGGCGUCGGCGCUGAAAGCGCCCCGCUUAACGGGGCGAGGCGUGCCGAUACGCGCAGACUUGAGGCGAGCAGAGGGUGGUGGAAUUCCGGGUGGGGCGGUGAAAUGCGUAGAGAUCCGGAGGAACGCCAGUGGGGAAGCCGGCCACCUGGGCUCGGCCUGACGCUGCGGCGCGACAGCGUGGGGAGCAAACCGGAUUAGAUACCCGGGUAGUCCACGCCGUAAACGAUGCCAGCUCGGCGUGUGGCGCACGGUCGUGCGCUGCGUGCCUUAGCUCACGCGAUAAGCUGGCCGCCUGGGGACUACGAGCGCAAGCUUAAAACUCAAAGGAAUUGACGGGGGUCCGCACAAGCAGCGGAGCGUGUGGUUUAAUUCGACGCAACACGAAGAACCUUACCUGGGCUUGACAUGACGCUGCACGCCGUCGAAAGACGGCCGCCUGCGAGGGUGCGUCACAGGUGCUGCAUGGCUGUCGUCAGCUCGUGUCGUGAGAUGUUGGGUUCAGUCCCGCAACGAGCGCAACCCGCGUCGGUAGUUACCCGUGUCUACCGAGACUGCCGCCGUGACCGGCGGAGGAAGGCGCGGAUGACGUCAAGUCAGCAUGGCCCUUACGUCCAGGGCGACACACACGCUACAAUGGCCACGACAAUGCGUUGCCAAGCCGCAAGGCGGAGCUAAUCGCUUAAACGUGGUCUCAGUGCAGAUCGGGGGCUGCAACUCGCCCCCGUGAAGGCGGAGUUGCUAGUAACCGCGUAUCAGCCAUGGCGCGGUGAAUACGUUCCCGGGCCUUGUACACACCGCCCGUCACGUCAUGGGAGUGGCCAAUGCUUGAAGUCCGUGUGCUAACCCCCCACGGGGAGGCAGCGGCCGAGGGCA
rnacentral:rRNA from 1 species